UCCCAUCUCCAGCCUUAGUCAGUCCCUCUCCCAUCCCCAGCCUUAGUCAGUCCCUGUCCCAUCCCCAGCCUUAGUCAGUCCCUGUCCCAUCCCCAGCCUUAGUCAGUCCCAUCCCCAGCCUUAGUCAGUCCCUUCCCAGCCUUAGUCAGUCCCUGUCCCAUCCCCAGCCUUAGUCAGUCCCACCCCAGCCUUAGUCAGUCCCUGUCCCAUCCCCAGCCUUAGUCAGUCCCAUCCCCAGCCUUAGUCAGUCCCAUCCCCAGCCUUAGUCAGUCCCUCGUCCCAUCCCUUGCCAAGUACCUCAACUCCACCAUGACUUCAUCCACAGAGUUGAAUGCAGAAACGGAACUCCUUCGAGUCACUAUGCGUCAAUACUUCAACAAUUGAAAUACCCUUACUUUGUACAGUGCCUUCAGAAAGUCCCAGUCCCAUUGUCCUGCUGAUCUAUAUCACUAGAUCUAUACCACUAGUUUCCGUACAAUACUGUAUAUCAGACUUGUUCUAUGACAAUAAAUCAGAUAUCUAUAUCAUACUGUA